CCGGAGCUAACGCGUUAAGUCGACCGCCUGGGGAGUACGGCCGCAAGGUUAAAACUCAAAUGAAUUGACGGGGGCCCGCACAAGCGGUGGAGCAUGUGGUUUAAUUCGAUGCAACGCGAAGAACCUUACCUGGUCUUGACAUCCACGGAAUUCGGCAGAGAUGCCUUAGUGCCUUCGGGAACCGUGAGACAGGUGCUGCAUGGCUGUCGUCAGCUCGUGUUGUGAAAUGUUGGGUUAAGUCCCGCAACGAGCGCAACCCUUAUCCUUUGUUGCCAGCGCGUGAUGGCGGGAACUCAAAGGAGACUGCCGGUGAUAAACCGGAGGAAGGUGGGGAUGACGUCAAGUCAUCAUGGCCCUUACGACCAGGGCUACACACGUGCUACAAUGGCGCAUACAAAGAGAAGCGACCUCGCGAGAGCAAGCGGACCUCAUAAAGUGCGUCGUAGUCCGGAUUGGAGUCUGCAACUCGACUCCAUGAAGUCGGAAUCGCUAGUAAUCGUGGAUCAGAAUGCCACGGUGAAUACGUUCCCGGGCCUUGUACACACCGCCCGUCACACCAUGGGAGUGGGUUGCAAAAGAAGUAGGUAGCU
rnacentral:rRNA from 1 species